AGCCCAGCCAAGCGCCUCUGUUUCCAAACAUGCCUGUUUUAAUGAGUUCUGCUCUCUGACAGGUGAACCGGGUUUAUGUGAUUUUCGAUCUGCCUACCACGGUGUCAAUGAUCAAACUGUGGAAUUAUGCGAAAACACCCCAUCGAGGGGUGAAGGAGUUUGGCCUCCUGGUGGAUGACCUGCUCGUGUACAAUGGGAUCCUGGCCAUGGUGAGCCACCUGGUGGGGGGCAUCCUGCCCACGUGUGAGCCCACCGUGCCCUACCACACCAUCCUCUUCACCGAGGACAGGGACGUCCGCCACCAGGAGAAACACACCACCAUCAGUAAUCAGGCCGAGGAUCAGGAUGUCCAGAUGAUGAAUGAAAACCAAAUCAUUACCAACGUGAAACGGAAGCAGAGCGUUGUUGACCCAGCCUUACGUCCCAAAACCUGCAUCAGCGAGAAGGAGACGAGACGACGGCGCUGCUGACUGGUGAAGGAGGGAAAGCUGGUCCUCCCACUACGGUGGGUUCUGUCAGCAGCCCCACUCAGCACCUGUGUCCCUCACCCUCAGUCCCAGGAGCUGGAAG
rnacentral:sRNA from 1 species